UACGUAAAAGGACUAGUGUUAUUCAUCUUUUAAUGAGGUUUAAAGGGAUACCUAGACGGUAUAAUUAUGUCCAAAAUAGGAGUAACAAUUUUUACGUAGAUUAAUAUAGGAUGUAGGUUGAGGUAUUCAUACAGGUAGAGGAUGAAAAUUCGUUUGAUAGUAUGAAGACUGGUAAUGGCGAAGGCAACCUUUUAUCUAAUAACUGACGUGAGGGACGAAGGCUCGGGGAACAAACAGG
rnacentral:rRNA from 1 species